GAAAUCUCUCAGAGCAGUAAAAGUUCUUCCACAGUGUCUCCUACAAACUGUUGCCUGGUUUCUUCACUUUGCUUUGAUGUUUUCUGCAGUUACUGAGAUAAAGGAGUCACGAAAAGUUAAAUGUUCCCAAGUGACUGAUGAGUUAGGGGUACAGUAUUGAGAAGGACCGACUGAAACACAGGUUCCGUGCAUCAGGCUUUGAGUAAAUUGCAUAGGAAACUUCUCUGAUUGAAUGUUGGAGGUCAUCUUUUGGAGAUCUACAGUGACUUCGGUCUCCUGGUAUAUAUGCUGAUUACUGGAAGAACGAAAUACCUACGUGUCGGAAGUGGUCCUGAGAUUAGUGUCUGCCUGUCUGCGAUCGGCAAAGUGAAGUCACCUCCACCAGGUUGCAUUUCAUAUGAGAGAUGGGCCAGUGCUCCUGGUAGGGAAUCUACACCAGCUGAGCCCCACUCAUCUGACGGGCAAGCACGAGGCUCCCUAGAGUGACAGAUGACUUGUUAGGGUUACUUAAGAACAUUAUUAUUUAUCAUAGAGAAGAGGGCUCAGGGAAGGGAGAGGGAGAGAGAGGGAGGAACUUAAAUUUUCCACAGUUGAAGAGCGUCCAAGCCACAUUGUCUUGGCAUUCAGCUACCAUUAAACGGUCGUAACUCGAUGGCAACAGCCUCCACCGAGACUGUUCUAGGCUCGGGGCCUUGUCUGUUUCCCGUGUCUGAGUUGGGUGCCACUCCUGGACUCUGCCUUGAAGGCUGCAGGUACCUGUGGUAUGUGUACGCUUCACCGCGUUGCCUCUGAAGGCUUCUGUGCACUGUGGGAAGCUGGGACCAUGACGACCUUGUUUAUCAUUUCGGUUGGAGAUCCUACCAAGUGGCUCACCAGGGAUUAUCAUUCACUAAAUACUAAUGGCAGUUGCAUACAGUGCUCUCUUAAUGCAAAAAAGAUCAAGGAAAGAAUGUAUUCACAGCUACAGUCACAUACGCUCACGCUCUCUCCCUUUCUAUGCCCACCCCUCCACGUUGAGCCCCAACUCCGAUGCCCACCCCCUUCCAUGUCGAGCCCCAACUCCUAUGCCCACCCCCUUCCACAUCGAGCCCCAACUCCAGUGCCCACCUCCUUCCAGGUCGAGCCCUGACUCUGAUGCCCACCCCCUUCCACAUCAAGCCCCGACUCUGGUGCCCACCCCCUUCCAUGUCGAGCCCCGACUCCUUCCUAGCUGGUUUCUCUGCCUAUUACCCAAGAACCAGAGCGGAUGGCUUAGAGAUGGCAGAUGCUGGGCUGUCACAGAUAAUAUACAGGGUGUACAUGACAUCUAGAAGUGGUAGCUUUAACAGAGAAGCAACUUUUUGAUAUGGCCUAAAAGUAAACCACUAAACUUUCAGCUUCCCGAAAAGAAUCCAUAAAUGUACUCAAUGGACACUCUUACCCCACAGCGAGCCUUACCCCAAUUCUAAGCAAAUCAAGCUCUUCAGUGACCUCUGGACGGUGACACAGGUGACAGGGUUCGUGGUCAAGCCAGGGCUGGGUUUCCUGACCCUUCCAGCAGUGUGUUCUGAGCAUGCUCUAGUCCAAGGCAGCACGGGCUGCCAUAACCGAAUGCCACUGAUGGGGUGGCUUACACAACAGGCAUUUAUUUCUUGCAGUUCUUACAGUUUUGGAGGCUGGGAAGCCCAAGAUUAGGGUGCUGGCAGACUCAGUGUCUGGGAGGGGCCCACUUCCUGGUUUGCAGACA